CAUUGGUGACAGGUGGUGCAUGGUUGUCGUCAGCUCGUGUCGUGAGAUGUUGGGUUAAGUCCCGCAACGAGCGCAACCCUUGUCUUUAGUUGCCAUCAUUAAGUUGGGCACUCUAGAGAGACUGCCAGGGAUAACCUGGAGGAAGGUGGGGAUGACGUCAAAUCAUCAUGCCCCUUAUGCUUAGGGCUACACACGUGCUACAAUGGGUAGUACAGAGGGUUGCCAAGCCGUAAGGUGGAGCUAAUCCCUUAAAGCUACUCUCAGUUCGGAUUGUAGGCUGAAACUCGCCUACAUGAAGCUGGAGUUACUAGUAAUCGCAGAUCAGAAUGCUGCGGUGAAUGCGUUCCCGGGUCUUGUACACACCGCCCGUCACACCACGGGAGUUGGAGACGCCCGAAGCCGAUUAUCUAACCUUUUGGAAGAAGUCGUCGAAGGUGGAAUCAAUAACUGGGGUGAAGUCGUAACAAGGUAGCCGUAUCGGAAGGUGCGGCUGGAUC
rnacentral:rRNA from 1 species